AUGGUGUGGUUGCGCCAACUCCUAAGUGAGCUUCAUCGUCCUCUUCAUCAGGCCACUAUUGUGUAUUGUGACAACAUCUCUGCCGUCUACAUGUCCUGCAACCCCGUUCAGCAUCGACGAACCAAGCACAUCAAGAUCAACAUACACUUCGUUCAUGAGAAGGUGGCUUUGGGCGACGUUCGAGUUCUUCACGUCCCUACAAGUGCCCAGUUUGCUGACAUCUUCACCAAAGGCCUGCCGGCGACGCCAUUCUUCGAUAUUCGUGCCAGUCUCAACGUCGUCGAGCCCGCCGCUGACACUGCGGGGGGUGUUAGUCAGUAG
rnacentral:rRNA from 1 species